GCCCCGCGGCCGGCCUGGGGGCCGAGUAUUGUCCUAAAGGCGGAAAAAAGCAGAGAGGGGGCUGGGGCCAGCCACGUGGCGCAGGAGGAUUUAUAACAUUUCCUUUCUCCAGCGACAACACUGCCAAAUGUGUGAAAGAGACUCCGGCAGGACAGGGGCGUGAGGGCACGGACGAGCGCUUUCCCCUACCGGAAAUCUGAUGGGCUUAUGACAUCAUGGCUGGCUGCUGAGCGAUGAAGUGGAUGCCACAGAGAAACCCGAUUUAUCAGAUGAAUUCGGAAAUCACUUUCCCUCCGGCGGGAGGAGCAGGCAUGAAGUCAGGAGACUCUCAGCUUUGUUUAAAAAUUUAAAAAAAAUAAAGAAAUAAAAGCAAAACUAAGUCUU